ACCCCACACCCAGAAAAAAAAAGCUCCAUCGAUCCCAUCUAUCGUUGCUGCCGCCGCCGCCGUCCGAGAGGGAGACGCCGCCGCCGCCGCCGAACUCCGGGAAACGCCGCCGCCAAGUCUCCAGGGCAGGGCGGUUUCAAUCCCUGCCGCCGAACUCCGGGAGACGCCGUCGCUGCGGCACAGGGUAGAUUUCGCGUCUCCACGUGGUCGCACGCACGCCUGCACCUCCACUUCCCCCCUCGAUCUCGAUCGGAUCUUCCUCUCCACAAAAAUCGCCACCGCCGGCCUCCUUCGCUCGACUCGGCCAUGGUGAAGCUACACCUCCCCCAAUUCCUCCCGUCGUCAUCGUCAUCCUCCGUGUGACCCCGCCAGAUUCCACGAUUUGGGGGAUUCCCUAUGAGGAGCCGGCGCGUCGUCCUCAUCGCAGGCGGUGGCGGGUGUUGGCAUGUGCGCGUACGGAGGAGCUCCACCUCACCCACUUCAGCUUCCUCCCGUCGUCAUCAUCGUCCUCCGCGCGACCACGCCAGCUUCCAUGGUUUGGGGGAGCCUUCCCUAUGAGGAUCCAGCGUGUCGUCCUCGUCGCACCCUAAUUAGGUUCCUGGUGUGUCCGCACCGCCGCACCCUAAUUUGAUUUCGACUGGAGUCUAGGACGUCAGCGCCACCAGUUUACCAAUCAGGUCGUUAGCACUGCCGUCCAGGUGAUAAUAAACGCCGUUCACCACAAGAAGAGGUGAGAGGCAGAUUCCAGAUAAGGAGCAAACUGCGUGGCAAGAUCAAUAAUGAAUGGUUCAAGUCAUGUGUUACAAGUUACAAUGAGCAGGUGGUACUCAAGUCCGUUGAUGAUAAGGAUAUUAUUCGAACAUUUACUGCAAUGAGGUCUCGGAAAGGGCAUUUGCCUCGUGAUUGUCUUUAGUGUGCUGUCGGUAUUCGGUAUGUUCCAUCUGACCAUCUAUAUUCUUGCAAGCUUUUGAUUUGUAAUAUAUUCAAAUAAUUUGUAUUUAAAAAUUAUGGGUUAGUAGAUCCGUUUUAAUUUGCAUUUCUAUUCUUGCAAGUAUUCGGUAUUUGCAUUCUUUUGUCCACGCUUUAAUUCCUAGAUCCCGUUUGUUUCGGCAGCAUUGUUACUUUGUUGUUUCUUCUGCUACAAGGCCCAUGGUUAUAGUAAACCUUCUUCUUUUAAGCAUCCUAUCAAACCUACUUAAACAAACGUGUGCCUUUUUGCCCACAUCUUCAUGCUAUUCAUCUGCAUGUUGCCUUGCAUAUAUAUAUAUAUAUGGUCAAAAAGCAUACGGUUUCACCACAACAGGUAACACACAGGCCAUGUGUCCUCUGCUUAUGGAUCUGUACUUGUGUUUCGUAUAUGCUAACCAUACUUUCUGUUGCUCUCGCCAAACUCUCGUGUUAACUGUUGAGUGAUGGGAUCAGUUCAUGACCUAACUAAAACCUCUGAUCCAACACCUCAUCACACUUUUGGUCAGACAUGCAUAUUAGGCCAACGGCACAUUUUAGUGAAUGAAAACUAUGAGCUGAGAAUAAAUAGGCGCUCUGUUUGGUUCAGAUAUUUUCAUACAUAAUUUGAUGUACUUCUCAUGGAUAUCUUCUUACACGUGAGCUUAUUUUGAAGAUGAUAAUAAGUUUCUGCCUUAGAGUUAAUGCAUAGUAUAUGACCGUCAAUCUCCAGUUCGAGGAAGAUUUUGGAGCAGCAACAUACAAGCAGAGCUAAGAUUGGUCCAGCCACUUCAUUUAUUUUCUGAAAAGGAAUUGAUGAAUGAGAGUAUAUUUUGAGAGAUCCAUCUAUAUGGUACGUUCAAUGCUGAUUUGAUAAUUUUGCGCAUGUCUCGUGCAGGCAUGCCAGCGCCUUCGUCGACCUCCACUCGCCAAUCUGUAACGCCUAUGCCCGUGGUGGCGGGUCACACUCUGAUGCAGCCGUGCACGCCGCCGCUACCAGACGACACCCCCACCGAGUAACACACCCCAGUCGAGAUUUUCUAUAUCAUCUCUGCCAAGGCGCAGUUAUCGGAAGAGAUUCAGGCGGCAUUGCUGGCGGCCGAAGGGGUGCUUGUGGAAGCAGGUGGAAUAGUCGGCAGCUGUGGGGAUUCGUUAUUCUCCGAGGUUGGCGGGCUCGACGCCAGGCUCGAUGGGGCUGCGGGAUUGUCAAGCAGGCGGGUGAUUGCUCAACGAUGACUGGAGACGAUCUUCGGUAUUACAACUGCUUUAUACCAAUGGGUUAUUUGCAUCUCAAGUUAAAUUAGUCACUGUUGAUCAACAAUGAGAUGUGGCCAUUGUUUGAUGGAUCAUUGAUGAUACGGAUGUGCAAUGAAACAAUGAUAUACCCACUGUAUUGGACCCGAACACCUUCCUGAAAAUUGUUCUGAAGGGGUUAGCACAAGGAAACUAUUGUUAUGACUUGCGAGGUCUGCUGGAGGUGACCGGAUCCGGAUGACUUGAGCAAAGCUGUGAAAAUUCACGGCAAGGGAUGGGGGUACAAGGCAUGGGUCUGCGGCGCCACACCUUGGUGUUGCCUGCCGGUGGCCAGCGAGCUGUGGCGGUGCUUCUCUGUUGCAUGGCGAGGGACUGGGGUGCAAGGCGUGCAUCUGCAGUGCCACUCCUGGGGCAUGCCUCUCCUGCGACAUUGCCGGCAUACACAACAUACCUUACUACACGGGGAUUUCCUCUCUGAACUAAAUAUUAUGUCAGAACUGAAUAUUACGUCCGAAGACUGAAACAUCCAUAAAGCUUAUUGAGACUAUUCAUUGAUGGUGUUUCUCUACUACACGAGGAAGUUUCAUGUGCCAAUUAGGCAUGGACGACGACGGCCAUGAUCCCAUCAUGGCAAGCUCACGGGAGGGAGACACACGUCUCAUCCAGUGUAAUAGCACGCUCCAAAAAAUCCCUAACCCUCCAUGGAGCCAUUGCCAGGGUGAUGAGAUCAACACCACCCACCACCACCACCGAGCUGUAGACGGCGUGUCAUGGUGCUCCCUAGCUCUUCCCGCCUCUUAAGAGACCACAUGGCGUUCUGGCAGUUCUGGUGCAGUUUUUGGCCAAGGCUGGAAGCCAAGAACACUUCUUAAUUUUGAUCAUGGACGUGACAUUGUGGUCGGUGUUGUGUGGUGCAGUUCAGAGUUUUCUUGCCUGGCGUAUAACAAUGCAUGUUCAAUGGGGUAGCCUCUUCUCAGGCACGAGUAUCCGAGGCAGACCACGACAUCUAUUUAGAAUAGCUACAACAAAAUUGUGACAGAGAUGGUUAGUGGGAGAAGGAACUUGAGACCACAGUCAAUUCUGCUGUAGGGACUGUGUGUAGAAGAUAGUAGUAGCAAACAUAGAAGUCACUUUGGAAAAAAAGUGUGCAUAUAUUGUUGUACUAGAGAUCCAUUCCUAUAUUUAACUGAUAUGCAUGGUUGAAUUGUAGUAUGUGUGAUACGUGAGAAUAAUGUAAUAUGAAGCGAAAUGUGGUGGACAGGGCUUCACAUUGUUGUUUUUCAGCAGAAUAUGAUGUUCGUCUCUUUUU